UGGUAUGAAAUUUGAAAACAAUAAAUUUCACGUGGAGUGGAUCACAGUUGAUAAGUUUAGGCUGAAUUAACUGUGUGUUAGUCGUCUAUAGCUUGGUAGCCAGCUAGCUAUGGUUCUACUGGGCCUCUCUCUGUUAAAGGCCUUCCCUAGAGGAGCUGAUAGAGGGCUGUAUGCAGGGAAGGGGAUCAUGAAUGGAGUCAAGAUAACUUUCUCAAACAAGAAAACAAAGCGUGCGUGGUACCCCAAUGUUCAGAAAAAGAACUACUACAGUGAUGUCCUAGACACCAGUCUGACACUGAGAGUGACCACAGCUGCCAUGAGAUGUAUUGACAAGGCUGGAGGCUUUGAUGCGUACAUUUACCACACCCCCGAGGCUAAACUGAACUCUAAACUAGGCAUGGCCCUUAAGCAAAGACUGUGUGCUGUCUUGCAGACGUGCCCGGAGGUGAAGGCUCCUCGCAAAGCUAAGAGACUGCCUAAGCCACCCGUUGACACUACACAGACUGUAUAGGCAUUUAUAUAGUUUAUGUCAUGUUCAUGUAAUUCAUCUUCCCAUGUUAUAAUAAUAAUUAUUGAGAGAUUUAUGAUCAUCGCAAGGGGGAGUACAGUAAUAUAUAUUAUUAUAAUAUUGAAAGCUUGUGCUGAGUAAAGCCGGCCCGAUACCAUUCAUGCCAUGUGUGAGGUAGUUACACUUAUUCUGUAGUGUAUGUUAAUAAUUCUUAGAGUCAAUAGCUGCAGCCAGGCUCCACCCAGUUACAGUGACACCCACGUACAUGGCAGCAGAAACAUGGUGGUGUUGGGAACAGUACUGUUGAUCAGACGGUUGUGGUCGAAGAUGCCCUCCCUUGAGGCUGUACAGAGAGGCCCUGAGUCAGUGAGGGACCUACUGCCCUUCACAGUAAUGAAUCCGAAGAAAGAAUACGUUCGUUUGCCAGCCCCUGGAUUCAAGCGAACCUAUCGCAGUGUUAUACUGGGUCAAACGUUGAGAGUGAGGGCCACACUAGGUCUACAGAGGAAGAUCGAGAGAUUGGGGGGAUUCGAUCGAUACAUCUAUUACUCCCCGGAGGAGGAGCUAGAGUCACGACUGGCCCUAGUGUUGAGGAGACGCAUGAAAGACCUGGUGGCAAAACAUCCCAGCGUUGAACCACCACCACUGGACAAGAGAAACCCUAAACCGUUACCUAAGAAACUCAGUAUUGACAUUGCACCAGUAGAAGUUUGUGAUAUGAGCCAGUAUGUGUAUCUAGGCUAGCCUAUAUAUUUACCAUGUUAUCAUAUCUAAUUUAUAUGAAAUUUAAUAAUCAAAACAUUUAAUGAUUGA